rnacentral:rRNA from 1 species
AGUGAACGCUGGCGGUAGGCCUAACACAUGCAAGUCGAACGGCAGCACAGUAAGAGCUUGCUCUUACGGGUGGCGAGUGGCGGACGGGUGAGGAAUACAUCGGAAUCUACUUUUUCGUGGGGGAUAACGUAGGGAAACUUACGCUAAUACCUCAUACGACCUACGGGUGAAAGCAGGGGAUCUUCGGACCUUGCGCGAUUGAAUGAGCCGAUGUCGUAUUAGCUAGUUGGCGGGGUAAAGGCCCACCAAGGCGACGAUCCGUAGCUGGUCUGAGAGGAUGAUCAGCGACACUGGAACUGAGACACGGUCCAGACUCCUACGGGAGGCAGCAGUGGGGAAUAUUGGAAAAUGGGCGCAAGCCUGAUCCAGCCAUGCAGCGUGGGUGAAGAAGGCCUUCGGGUUGUAAAGCCCUUUUGUUGGGAAAGAAAAGCAGCAGGUUAAUACCACGCUGUUCUGACGGUACCCAAAGAAUAAGCACCGGCUAACUUCGUG